ACGAGCUCCGGUUGUAGCUGCUGGAGCUUGAAGUUAGCUACGGAUGCUUGGAGCAGCUGCUACGAGCUCCGGUUGUAGCUGCUGGAGCUUGAAGUUAGGUACGGAUGCUUGGAGCAGCUGCUACGAGCUCCGGUUGUAGCUGCUGGAGCUUGAAGUUAGCUACGGAUGCUUGUAGCAGCUGCUACGAGCUCCGGUUGUAGCUAACUUCCAGCCCAGUGCUGCCGUGGGAAAAAAUCAGCGGCACAGUACUAACGGGAGGACACGCGAGCGGGGGGGAGAGCGUAGAGAGCACGGAGAGCACAACACUCACGAACCUAACUUCCAGCUACAGCUGCUGCUACGGCCGCUCGUUCAAGAUACCGGAGCAAGCACAUCUGUUCACGGUGCUAGGCUACAUCACGUAGCAUGCCAGACGGACCCACCACACUGCGACCUCACUACAAAAGUACAGGCACACAGAAAACUGUGCUGCACUGAUGUUGGUGUUGGGACCUCAGCUGUAAGAGACCUCGCUUGGAGGAGGGAGAGGACAACCCAAGUUGUUCAAGUAUGGACUUCGGAGAGCCACAGGAUGCUACCUAUGAUCCUGAUGACUCAAUCACAGUCUUGACUGAGUCAGCAGAUGUGACAUUACGUGGAUAACCUGUUGGACCUCAUCUUUCACGAGGUUUUUCAGGACCCGGCCCCAUAUGUGAAUGAGGUGCUGAAGAUCUCAAAACCUGAGGACCUCUCUGCUAAGUAUGAGAAACCUGACAAGCAGGAAGUUAUAGGCAGGUCUGAACCCUGUAUAACUUCCCUGAGCAUCAGGGAACACUCUGCGUAUCUGGAGCACCGAGCAGGAGGGCAGGACCACCCUGAUUCUCCGGCCCAGGUGGCCUCAACACCAGCUCACAAAGCUUCUGUACGCCAAAUACCUGUAACGGCUGAGCAAAGUUUACAUUGUAUUUAGAGAAUAAAGGUGACACACAAAUAUAAAGUGUUCCUUUGUUUACAGUAUGGCUACUGAUGGCACAAAUUGUAUUUUUGUAAUCAAUGUUUUCAUUAUACUUGGUAUUUUUUGUAUUUAUUACCUCUGUCCCAGCCAGUACAUUUAAUAACUAUUUUUAAAAAGCUCUGUGGCAUUCUUUUUAGCAAUC